rnacentral:rRNA from 1 species
ACGCUCGACACCUACGGGAGCAGCAGUGGGGAAUAUUGGGCAAUGGAGGCAACUCUGACCCAGCAACGCCGCGUGAAUGAUGAAGGUCUUCGGAUUGUAAAGUUCUGUGACGGGGGACGAACACAAUGACGGUACCCCGAUAGCAAGCCACGGCUAACUACGUGCCAGCAGCCGCGGUAAUCUGAGCGGGCUGGCAAGGC